rnacentral:rRNA from 1 species
UGGGGAAUCUUGGACAAUGGGGGCAACCCUGAUCCAGCGAUGCCGCGUGAGCGAAGAAGGCCUUAGGGUUGUAAAGCUCUUUCGCCCGCGACGAUGAUGACGGUAGCGGGAGAAGAAGCCCCGGCUAACUCCGUGCCAGCAGCCGCGGUAAAACGGAGGGGGCUAGCGUUGUCCGGAAUUACUGGGCGUAAAGCGCGCGUAGGCGGUCCACCAAGUCGGGGGUGAAAGCCCGGGGCUCAACCCCGGAAUGUCCUCCGAGACUGUUGGACUGGAGUUCGGGAGAGGAGAGCGGAAUUCCCAGUGUAGGGGUGAAAUUCGUAGAUAUUGGGAAGAACACCGGUGGCGAAGGCGGCUCUCUGGCCCGCAACUGACGCUGAGGCGCGAAAGCGUGGGGAGCAAAC